GUCCGGCCAUGGAAUUCUGUGAAAGUCAGAAACUGCCCCGCAACCGUUACAGUCGGAUCUUUACCGGAA
rnacentral:ncRNA from 2 species